rnacentral:lncRNA from 1 species
UCGGCGGCGGAGGACCCGCCGUACUGCAGGGUGGGCGCCGGCUGGUCGGAUGCCAUCGUAUAGACCGGCGGCGAAGACGACCCGGCUAACCAGGCCGGAAGUGGUGACGGCGACGGCGGGAACCGGACCUGUUGAUCGGGACUCCCACCGGCGCGGUGGUAGCCGACCCAGAUUGAAUGGGCGGAGGCGCCGGCAGCUGCAGCGGCUGCUGCAGGGGUGGAACGGACGCGGCGGCAGUCGCGAGGGUCGGCGACGGCCACUGCGGCCAGUGCGGGGUGUAGGCGGG